CAACACAGAUUUAGGACAAUCCACAUCAAUCGAUACCUUAAUGAAAACAACCUCCAUAUCUGCAUGUUUACUACACUUAUUGACACACGCACACAUACAUAAUAGGCACGAAUGCAUGUUCCUUUCGCUCCUUAUUUUUCCCUCUUCAUUUCUUCGUCCAGCUCGAAGAAGAACGAAAGCGUUGGGGGCUUUGCAAACGAGGAAGACGUAAAUACAAAGGCAUAAUGUCCCAGAUUUUUAAGAACGUCUCAUAAACACGAAUUCUGCCUUCCUUUCUGUAACCAUAACCUCGUCUCACUACUACUACUUCCUGCAACUAUCUUUGGAAAUCUACCAUGCAAAACCUCCUGCCAGUCAGAUAACUUUUGUUCUUUUUUCUGGUUUUUAACUUCUUUUUUUUUCCUUAUAUCUUGCUGUAACUCUAGCAGCUCUUAAUAAACUUUCUUCACUAUUACCUACAUAGCUAACUCCACACUAUUACCUACUCUAGCUAACUCCACACAGUCUUCUACUGAUAUUAGCUCUCUUCCACCUUCCCUUCUAGUCAUUUGACUGCGGCCAUGCUGGAGCACCGUUUUUAGUAGAAACAAAUCGACCCAAGGACUUAUUCUUUGUUUCCAAUGAUCUUCAAAGUCAAAAGAAUCCAAAGUUACUAAGGCAGCAUAUAACAGAGGCAGCAGAUUUUCAGAGUAGCUGUCACAUAUAAAAUGGAAUUUCUUUUCGGGAGAGGGAGAAGGGGUUAGGAUUUUUUGACAUUUUAUAGUAUCCUACAUUGCAAUACACUAGUAAAUCACUUUUUUUAAUUAUUUAAAAAUCCAUGUUUUUCAAAUGUCUCCCAUCACCAGCUCCACUUUAACAAACCUUUGCUGUAGCUGCCACAUUUAAAACAAAUUUUUCUUUUUUGUAAUUUUCUAUCCUUUUAUAUUUGACAUUCUGAAAUACUUGUAAUUCACAUUAAGAAAAAAAUUUU